rnacentral:rRNA from 1 species
UACGGAGGGUGCAAGCGUUCUCCGGAUUCACUGGGUUUAAAGGGUGCGUAGGCGGGUUGGUAAGUCCGUGGUGAAAUCCCCAAGCUUAACUUGGGAACUGCCGUGGAUACUAUCAAUCUUGAAUAUCGUGGAGGUAAGCGGAAUAUGUCAUGUAGCGGUGAAAUGCUUAGAUAUGACAUAGAACACCAAUUGCGUAGGCAGCUUACUACACGAUCAUUGACGCUGAGGCACGAAAGCGUGGGGAGCAAACAGG